rnacentral:misc_RNA from 1 species
AUCAAAUCGAGCUAGCACAUAUAAUAUACAUUAUGAAUCGGAGGGAAAAAAACAGAGACAAUAAAACAUAAGAAAAGGGUGAAGAGUAGUUUUUUUACCCGACCCCAAAACUUUUCUUUCUUCUGGCUUCCAAACAGCAAAAAAGAAUUCAAACGCGCUUCUAUAACGAAUUCUUUUUACUUUACAUUUAUUUCCCCGCCCCCACUAUAUACAGAGAGUGACAUUUGAAAGAGAAGAUCUCAAAAAUAAUAGCAAACCAAUUCAUUUUCUCCCCUAACAUUUUGUUAAAACCAAAAUGCAAAUCCGCCAACAAGAAUUAGACCCACAAAAGA